rnacentral:rRNA from 1 species
CGGAUUAUUGGGCGUAAGAGCUCGUAGGCGGUUUGUCGCGUCUGCCGUGAAAGUCCGGGGCUCAACUCCGGAUCUGCGGUGGGUACGGGCAGACUAGAGUGAUGUAGGGGAGACUGGAAUUCCUGGUGUAGCGGUGAAAUGCGCAGAUAUCAGGAGGAACACCGAUGGCGAAGGCAGGUCUCUGGGCAUUAACUGACGCUGAGGAGCGAAAGCAUGGGGAGCGAACAGGAUUAGAUACCCUGGUAGUCCAUGCCGUAAACGUUGGGCACUAGGUGUGGGGGACAUUCCACGUUUUCCGCGCCGUAGCUAACGCAUUAAGUGCCCCGCCUGGGGAGUACGGCCGCAAGGCUAAAACUCAAAGGAAUUGACGGGGGCCCGCACAAGCGGCGGAGCAUGCGGAUUAAUUCGAUGCAACGCGAAGAACCUUACCAAGGCUUGACAUGGACCGGACCGCCGCAGAAAUGUGGUUUCCCCUUUGGGGCCGGUUCACAGGUGGUGCAUGGUUGUCGUCAGCUCGUGUCGUGAGAUGUUGGGUUAAGUCCCGCAACGAGCGCAACCCUCGUUCUAUGUUGCCAGCGCGUUAUGGCGGGGACUCAUAGGAGACUGCCGGGGUCAACUCGGAGGAAGGUGGGGACGACGUCAAAUCAUCAUGCCCCUUAUGUCUUGGGCUUCACGCAUGCUACAAUGGCCGGUACAAAGGGUUGCGAUACUGUGAGGUGGAGCUAAUCCC